UGAUCUAGUCUCACUUCCGAGGAUAACGACGAAAUACGCUUCUGAAUUGAAGAGGGCCUUUCAAGACAUCCCAGCUCUGAUCGUUAUCGCCGCCAUACCACAGACAGUGGUUGUCGACAUGAUGACCUCAACUGGACGAUGUCGCACUGCGCAAUUGGAAGUGUUCGGAAUUGACACAAAGCUGCGUUAUCGGGCCAAUGACUGUAGCUCCGCCGCACACUGGCAUGAAUCUACGCCGUUUCGCACGUAAGAAAAGGAAUCCCUUCGAAUCAAGAUACUCAUAGGCUGCCGUCCGAGUGAAUGAGUCGCUGGUUGCGUUCAUUUUGCAUGUGACAGUGGGUCCCUCUAUCUCUUAUCUCGUUUGAGCUUAGCCCCCAUCAGCAUCAACACCAACUUUGCUUCCACUUGCCUUCCUGAUAGACCCUGAAAAGACGUCGCACGGUACUACGUAGACGGUAUCCUGGCCAGGCCAUGUAUUGGGUCAUGUUGGCGAAAUCUAUUUCUGGGAUGCACCUCCCGACGUCCUAACAUAUAUCUCGAGGGCCCGUGCAACCUUUCGAUUGAUGCUCUGGCCCAAUUCCUGACUCGUCAUCAAUUGAGUCUGCGGUCAGGCCAUCAUUCGUUAUACAGCGUCGAUCGCAUUAUGUGAUUAUGCAAACACUAUUUGCCGCCCUAGUUACAUGGCUUAAGUGCCUGGAUUUU
rnacentral:lncRNA from 1 species